rnacentral:rRNA from 2 species
GUUGACCUCGGAUCAGGUAGGAAGACCCGCUGAACUUAGCAUAUCAAUAGGCGGAGGAAAAGAAACCAACAGGGAUUGCCCUAGUAACGGCGAGUGAAGCGGCAACAGCUCAAAUUUGAAAUCUGGCCUCGGCCCGAGUUGUAAUUUGUAGAGGAAGCUUUAGGCGCGGCACCUUCUGAGUCCCCUGGAACGGGGCGCCACAGAGGGUGAGAGCCCCGUAUAGUUGGAUGCCUAGCCUGUGUAAAGCUCCUUCGACGAGUCGAGUAGUUUGGGAAUGCUGCUCAAAAUGGGAGGUAAAUUUCUUCUAAAGCUAAAUACCGGCCAGAGACCGAUAGCGCACAAGUAGAGUGAUCGAAAGAUGAAAAGCACUUUGAAAAGAGGGUUAAAUAGCACGUGAAAUUGUUGAAAGGGAAGCGCUUGUGACCAGACUUGCGCCGGGCGGAUCAUCCGGUGUUCUCACCGGUGCACUCCGCCCGGCUCAGGCCAGCAUCGGUUCUCGCGGGGGGAUAAAGGCCCCGGGAACGUAGCUCCUCCGGGAGUGUUAUAGCCCGGGGCGUAAUGUCCUCGCGGGGACCGAGGACCGCGCAUCUGCC